GACUACCGGGGUAUCUAAUCCUGUUUGAUCCCCACGCUUUCGUGCAUGAGCGUCAGUUAUAGCUUAGCUAGCUGCCUUCGCGAUCGGUGUUCUGUGUCAUAUCUAAGCAUUUCACCGCUACAUGACACAUUCCGCCAACUUCAACUAUACUCUAGACUGACAGUAUCAAAGGCAGUUCCACAGUUGAGCUGUGGGAUUUCACCCCUGACUUACCAAUCCGCCUGCGCACCCUUUAAACCCAAUGAAUCCGGAUAACGCUUGCAUCCUCCGUAUUACCGCGGCUGCUGGCACGGAGUUAGCCGAUGCUUAUUCUUCAGGUACCUUCAGCCCCGCUCACGAGCGGGGGUUUAUUCCCUGACAAAAGCAGUUUACAACCCAUAGGGCCGUCUUCCUGCACGCGGCAUGGCUGGUUCAGGCUUGCGCCCAUUGACCAAUAUUCCUUACUGCAGCCCCCCGUAGG
rnacentral:rRNA from 1 species